CUAAGAAUAUUGGGCAAUGGAGGAAACUCUGACCCAGCCAUGCCGCGUGAAUGAAGAAGGCCUUCGGGUUGUAAAGUUCUUUUAGUCGUGAAGAUGAUGACAGUAGCGACAGAAAAAGCACCGGCUAACUUCGUGCCAGCAGCCGCGGUAAUACGAAGGGUGCAAGCGUUGUUCGGAUUUACUGGGCGUAAAGCGUCCGUAGGUGGUUUGUUAAGUCAGGGGUGAAAUCCCGGGGCCCAACCCCGGAACUGCCUUUGAUACUGGCAAGCUGGAGCGUGAUAGAGGAAGAUGGAAUAUCUGGUGUAGGGGUGAAAUCCGUAGAUAUCAGAUGGAACACCAAUGGCGAAGGCAGUCUUCUGGAUCAUCGCUGACACUGAGGGACGAAAGCGUGGGUAGCAAA
rnacentral:rRNA from 1 species